GAAGCACGAGGAGAGAUUCUGCAUUUCCUAAUAUAUUCGUAUACAAAGGGCCCAGAGAAAAGAUAUCACAUUUCCUUUCUCUCAUACCAAUGCAACAUAUGAUGUUUGACCUGCCACCUACGUGCUAUAUAGGACUUUCCUACAUGUUGUUCAUCUUAUGGAGGUCCGCAUCAUUGCAUUGCAGGUGGUUUUAACUCUGUAUUUUAUAGCAGCUCUGUAAGGGUUGUCUCAGGCGUCACUGUUGUUUAUUUUGGUAAUUCCCCGAUCUUAUUUUGCUUAGGAGUGCCCACCUAUAAUUGAACAUGCAGUUACGCUGGUGGGGUAGAGCGCUCCUCCGAAGAUGCUGCAGAUGCUGACUUACCUCGCCAUGAAGCACGACGCCAACAUGCAGCGUGUCGACACAGUCCGGGCUUACAGCUUCGGGGCUCUCUACUUUGUCGAGGUAUUAUGUUGGCUUUCCAAAGGCACUGCAAGAGGAUGGGAAGAACAAGAAAUCUGGGAAAAGAUGCCAAUUAUAUCUUAAUACACAGGCCAUCUCCACAACAGAGGUUACGUAGAGUGUUGGAAAUCAUGCAUGCUGUCACCCUGCCAUCAUCAGCCAUGUAGCGCUGCAGCCCUCUCGGCCCGUCUGAGGCCCAUUAGUUCGAGGAGAUUGGUCCCUAACAACUGAAGCAGCCAUUCAGUUGGCCUGAAGGACAUCAACAACAAUGGGAGCAUUUGUGUCGACAUAUUGAAGGACGAAAGGAGCUCUACUCUAACUAUUUCCAAGCCAAUGAAGGGAUAAUAGGGAAGGCUUCCAGUUCAGUUACUUCCAGAGAUGCAUGGUUGAUAAUUGAUGAGUUCUGAAGGCCCAGUUCACUUACUUACAGAGCUGACUGAUAAAUGAGGAGUUUUGCAAGUGGUUUUCAUCAUAACAUGAUAUGGAACAAACCAUGUCGAAGACGUGCCUGAUGCCGGUGGCAAGAAAAACAUCAGUUAAUUCCCCGUUAGGAAAGUUGUCUAAUAGGUGACACGGGUCACCGAUAGUUCUCUUCCAGCUAUCUAGGUGCUGUAGAAUCUUACCGUUCCACUCUUCUCUUUUGCUAUGUAUUGUACAUAUGAAUCAACUGUACGAUGCAAUAGCUGUCUUCUGCAUCUCUUCUAGAUGGUGGCUUGACCCUUCCGUGUUCUUCGUUCUGUACAAUUGCUUUUGUUUCAUGUUGCUAUCUCCACUCUUAUUUUUUACUUCUUUGUACUUUUUACUAGCUGCCAUACUUGGUUUGGAGAAAAGACUUUGUACUGAAAUGGAUUAUCAUAUUGGCAGCUUUUUUUUU